CGGCGGACGGGUGAGUAACCCGUGGAUAACCUACCUAUAAGACUGGGAUAACUUCGGGAAACCGGAGCUAAUACCGGAUAAUAUUUUGAACCGCAUGGUUCAAAAGUGAAAGACGGUCUUGCUGUCACUUAUAGAUGGAUCCGCGCUGCAUUAGCUAGUUGGUAAGGUAACGGCUUACCAAGGCAACGAUGCAUAGCCGACCUGAGAGGGUGAUCGGCCACACUGGAACUGAGACACGGUCCAG
rnacentral:rRNA from 1 species